CUGAUCUUGUUAUCUUCCGAUUUGGCGGUCGUUCUAUUUAUGCAAAAACGGUUCGCGAUAGCACUACGAAUUUUCGCCAAUUCACUCAUUGUUAUACUACGCUCAGAUUGCACCAA